AAAAAUAAUGUAUCCUGGGAGGGUGUGGUGGUUCAGACCUGCAGUCCUAGCACUUUGGGAGGCCAAGGCGGGUGGAUCACCUGUGGUCAGGAGUUUGAGACCAGCCUGGCUAACAUGGUGAAACCCCAUCUCUGCUAAAAAUACAAAAAUGAACUGGGUG